rnacentral:tRNA from 1 species
GGCGGAUUCGUCUAAUCAGGCAGGACACAGGGCUUUCAAUCCUGUAAUGCGGGUUCGACUCCCGUAUCCGUUACCA